GAGCAGUGACACCUUGCAGCAUGGAGAUGUCUCUCUCUCUCUCUCUCUCUCUCUCUCUCUCUCUCACACACACACACACACACACAGAGAGAGAGAGAGAGAGAGAUGCUGUUUUGCUGUGGUGUUUGGUUCUG